GACUGCUCACACAAGAAGUCAGUAACUAUUCUGGAAAUACCACCAGAUACUGUUCACACACUGGGCAUUACAGAAUUAGCUCAGUAAGUAAUUUUGGCAUGUGACAACUCUGGCACGGGGCCUCUAUUGCUAACAAAAAGAAUAUCACAAACAGAUCAUCUCAUAUCACAUCCCUAACUCUGCCAAAGCCUCUGAGAUGUCUUUUCAAUAUUCUGUAAAGUUAUGCCUAAUACAAACAGAGUGUGAGUGAGUAAUUCCUGGUGGCUGAUGCUAAUUUCUGCUGGUAUGGUCAGAACUGUAUCAACACCUUUUUGUA